UCUUCCUGCCCUCGAGGAGCUCACAGUCUAGUACGUGCCACCCUACUAGACUGGCGCUCCUUGAGGACAGGGGUC
rnacentral:pre_miRNA from 15 species